ACAAAGAAAGCACUCCAGAGCCCCGGAAGAGGAAGAAGUUACUUCCGGAUCAGAGGACUGGCCAAGGUUUCGUGACAACAGAGACGUCUGAGUCAGAUCUUGGGGGCUGGCAGGAUUUUUGUGGUCAGAAGCGGAUGUCGCAUGGGCUGUGACUGGGCUCCUGGCUGGGGAGCUGCUUGCCCCUGCGGGGAGAGGUGAACAGCCCAGCAGGCUGGAACAGGAGCUCCUUGAGGAGCAUAGGUGGGGACAGAGUGCAGGCUGCAAGGGAGCUCCAUCCACAGUCACUGCUGCGGGCUUGGACAUGCCUGGCAGACUUCAAAGCGGAGACAGUGAGAAGAGAGUUGGAUAUGUGCCUGAAACCUGGGAGAAAGGUCUGCGCUAGAGAUACAACCUUGGGAACCACCUGCAUACCCGUGGUAUCUGGAGAUCACCAGAGGGAACGAGGGCAGAUGGAGAAGAGGACCCGGAUGGAAGCCAAAACGCUCAAAGGCAGGCUGAAAAAAGACCUUUUGGGUAAGGGAAGGUGCAAGUGGAGCCGACACAGAUGACUUCUGUGUGCCUGGAUUUGAGAGGGGACCAGCAAUAGAUUCCUCAUGAGGCUCCACCAGGCUUUAAGGUGCAUCAUACAGGACAACAGGCUUCAGACUUUCUCGACUGUGACCAUUUCACAGGACUCAGAUGACUCCAUCUUCACUUGGAACCAGAAGUUCCACACCGUUUUUGCUUAUGCCGGACGCUGCAUUCUGACGGUCCUUCACACACCUCCCCCUCCAUCCCCAGCCUGCCGAAACACAGAUACAGAACGGAUAUUGAAGAAAUCUUGUGCAAACAGAAGUUUAAAUAAAGCUAAGCAGUUCAGACAAGAGCUAAUCCAAACCAUCACAGGGGUGCAUUUGUGUGGCGGCCAGAUCAGUGCCAACACUAACAUCCUCAGCUCCCUUGAAUCCUGUGAAUUCUGUCUGCAGAAUGUGCUUACAAGGCUGGGAGACAUCGGCCUGCUUCAGAUCAGGAGCUGGCAUGCCCUGGUUGCCCAUGGCAACCCAGCUGCACGGGAGUGCUAG
rnacentral:lncRNA from 13 species